rnacentral:lncRNA from 10 species
GUCCAAGUCAGGGAGCCACUGAAGUAUUCGGGCAGAGGAGGCAAAGCCACCCAAGUUAUUUACCUCCGGAACCCUCCUGUCAUGGUGACGAAAGCAUCCGGAAGAAAUGCCCAGACAGCCUCUUUAACCAGCACACUGACGGCCUCUGCUUCUGCCCUGGUCACACAGCUGACAAGGUCUUCAUAAUACAGAAAUCCUGAGAGGCCAUUUGACAGGUCAAUGGAGAGAGUGACACGUGUGUGAAACAACCAGCCCUCAGUAGAAGGGGAUUCUGUCCCCACGAUAGAGCUAACAUGACUACAGGCAUCAACACCAAACUCCAUUCCCACAGAGACAGAAUAGUCCAUGUGGUUCUCCUGGUUGUGAAUUUUUCAGGGUAACAGUGGUUCUUUGCUUUCUAACCUAGAGGCUUACAAUUUCCUGAGAAGGAGACAAUAUUUCACAUCCCUCUGGAAUCCAAACUGUUCAGAUCUGACUUCCUACUGAAGAACCAGCCUUCUUGAUCAAUAGGCUGUGUCCUACUGUUUUUUAAAAGGAAGGAAGGAGACCCAGUCUCGAUAGAAAGAAGAAGGAUAGAAGGAUCAGAGAUCAGGCUAGGGCUGCAGGACUCAUGUCUUCCACUAUUUUGUGUCUCCACAACCUGACAAAUACUGCACAGAGUAGGUACUAACAAAGCCCUUUAUUGGUGAUGACAUGAUGCUGCAUCUUGCUUUCACUGAAGACAAUGCCUUCCAGUGGCAUCCUUGUAGAUAAACUAUGGAAGUCUAGGAAGGAUGACAGUAUCCUCUGGUGGGUGUCAAGCUGCUUGAACAAUGGAACUUGGCAAGUGUUAAACGGCUAGGUAGAUGCAAAGGUGGAGAGCCAACCUUCCUGGUCGUGCAUUUUCUUCCUCAGCAUCAAUGAUUUGGGUCAAGACACAGAGAGUAAGCUUAACUAAUUGUCAGGCCUCUGAGCCCAGGCCAGGCCAUCAUAUCCCCUGUGACCUGCACGUAUACAUCCAGAUGGCCUGAAGCAACUGAAGAUACACAAAAGAAGUGAAAAUAGCCUUAACUGAUGACAUUCCACCAUUGUGAUUUGUUUCUGCCUCACCCUAACGAAUGUAUUUUGUAAUCUCCCCCACCCUUAAGAAGGUUCUUUGUAAUUCUCCCCACCUUUAAGAAUGUACUUUGUUGAGAUCCGCCCCCUGCCCACAAAACAUUGCUCCUAACUCCACCGCCUAUCCCAAAACCUGUAAGAACUAAUGAUAAUCCCACCACCCUUUGCUGACUCUCUUUUCAGACUCAGCUCGCUUGCACCCAGGUGAAAUAAACAGCCUUGUUGCUCACACAA